UGUGAGAAAGGGAGAGCAACUGCUUAUUGAUGUAGUGGAAGCAAAUGAAGAUAAUGGAAAGGGCAGGUAAAUGACAGCAUCUUUCUGAAAGACCUGCAGAACUUCUCCUGCUUCUUCUGAAGCAUGUGCAAAUGUUGCCACUUCUUUGCCCUAAGGUACCAAGUAUUUGCCUGACAACCAGAGGGUGCCACUCCAUCUGUGCCUACUAGCAAACAUGUGGAACAUUUCUGUUCUCCAAAGAUACCUUUUAAAAGAAGACACUUUCAAUCAGUGGUCAGUCCUACAGUCCUGUGAAAAGCUGAAAGGAGUGGAGAGAAGCAAUGACAGAACUUGCA